AUUUCCAGCACUAUCUGUUGCUUUGGUUAUACUAGCUGUGCAUAAAAAAUAUUAUACAAGAAUGUGCCACCGGCGAUGGGUGCAAACGGCUGUAAAUGUGGACGACCACAUCGUCAUCCCAAGGCAAGGUGUCUCUCGCUCUCACCCGUUCUUCUCCUUGCGCAUCUUAUCCCCGUCCUCACGCUGCCGCCUCCGUCCCUGUCGCCCCUUCUCUAGAGUCGGCGGCUGGCGCUGGCGUCCACGACCUCACCAAAGCAAGGAAAGAAGGAGGAGCAGGCUCCAGCGUCAGGUGCCUAAGAUCGGCACACCUCCUCCCGAUCGACCCAGACCAGCGCCAUGGCAACAAGCUUGCCCCCCUACCCCGACCUUGAAGUUGAGCGGCCGAUACCACCAUGACUUGGCGGCACAGCUGGUGGAACCGGCGUCCAUAAGCGAGCCAUCGUCCAGAUGGCCGCCGCGCUUCCGCUCAGUAGGUUUCUCGGCAAGGCGACGGUGUGCAAACCAUGUGCGCCUGCCUAGCUGUAUUGCGGCUCGCGGAUGCGGCAGAUGUGGCACAUGAGCAGAUGAAAGAGGAAUAACUGAAGCCCCAAUGCCUCCACACAUUCUUGCUCCCUAACAAUGGGAGUACUAGGUUGCAAACUCCUUUCCCUUCCCUUAUAUUUACAAUAUGAUGAUGACUAUAUGAUUAUAGUCUGGUUAUAAAGGUGAGAUGCCACCACAAUGUUUCAGAGGCUCACAUCUGUCAGUACUCAUUAGAUAGAACUUGUGUUGCAGUUUUUGUUAUGUGCUUCUCUAAAUUCUCUGUUGGCCAUCGUCUAUCUCUCCUGCAUAGCUAGCCCGGUGCCAUGUCAGAAGUUCAACCAAAACUUUUAAGAUGCUUGUGUAGCAAAAUGCGUUUGGAG